rnacentral:rRNA from 1 species
AUGUCGUUGGACGUCGUCGGUCUGGCGGAGAGCAUGUCCGCGGUCGAUCUGGAGGUCGUGUUCGGCUCCAUCGGCCGCGUCACCGGCUCCGAGUUCAUGCGCACUAGCGGCCGCAGCUUCGUCUACAUUGCCACUGCCCCUCCCACAAGGUCAUGA